rnacentral:pre_miRNA from 1 species
ACCUAGAACCUACGUCGAUCGAUUGUUCUUAACAAGAACAAUUGAUUGACGUUGGUUUUGGUUC